rnacentral:misc_RNA from 1 species
CAACCCUCAAGCCUAGCUUGGUGAUGGGCCUUCGUCUUCUAGACGGGUCUGAAAAUUAGUGGCGAUGCCCUUCAGCUUCAAGCAUAGUAAAUGUGUCUUUGUCUUGAAUAGUUGGCUGGUGUAUUGGCCAAGUGAAUUGUAUAUUUCAUCU